rnacentral:lncRNA from 1 species
GGUGCUCAGGUGGGUCAGGUCAUUGCCUUUCCUUUAAAAUAACAAGAUCCCUGAAUGACACCGUUAGGACCCAUGGGUCUGGCAUCUCAGGGGCCACCUCCAGAAGAUGUCCGGCUGCCUUUGCCAGCAUCUCGCCUCGGUCACAGCCACAAGUCUCUGAAUCAUGCUUUUCCUGCAGGGGCUGUGAGCGGGUGCACUCCUGCACGAACUGGGGUGCCCCCACCCCAGUCUCCCACCCACCCUAGACAGGCCCACUCUCAGGGCAUGUGUCUCCAGCAGCAUGGACCCAGCCUGGGCCGCGCAGCCACAGCAGAGGCUCAGAGGCGCAGCCACCACCUCCGGGCAGCCUCCUCCCUGCAGCAGACUGGCUGUUUUAUGUAAUUUUAGGGUAUAUUAAUGCAUCUCAAGGUGGCGGGCAUUAUAGUUGCGAUUAUUACCUAAAGACUUCCUUUAUAGCCUUCAUUUGCCAGUGCUCGUGACUUUCUGAAAAAUUAUCUUUGGGAACUGAAAUUUUCCUAGAUUAGUCUUGUGAGUUUUCUUCUUAGGAUCUGGGCAAAACAUAUUUGGUAAGGAGGAGAGAUUAGUGCUCCCGAAGUCAGCCUCCUUGGUGACUUCUGACAAGGAAAGAGAACAUCUGAAGGAGGAGGGGGGCCGAGUCUUUAACAUCCAAACGCCAGCUCCGCUGUUACUUGGUUUCCUCUGUUGUAAGAAGGCAGUCCCAUUUUACAGUGAGAGCUCAGCCCCGGGUAAGACCUCUGCAACACUCCUUUGGUAGCUUUAGCAUGGACAAGUCAGGAAGGCAAAUGCCAAUUACUGCAACACUGAUGAUGCACAAAAAUAGCUGGACAUGUAUUUUCCA